AUUCAAUUAGAGUUUGAUCUGGCUCACAAUCAACGCUGGCGGCGUGCCUAACACAUGCAAGUCCAACGCGAAAGGGGAGCAAUCCCUGAGUAGAGUGGCAAACGGGUGAGUAACACGUGGGUGACCUGCCCUCGAGUGGGGGAUAACGUCCCGAAAGGGACGCUAAUACCGCAUGACAUCCUGCCUUUGGACAGGCGGAAAUCAAAGCUGGGGAUCGCAAGACCUGGCGCUCGAAGAGGGGCCCGCGCCUGAUUAGCUAGUUGGUAGGGUAACGGCCUACCAAGGCGACGAUCAGUAUCCGGCCUGAGAGGGCGGACGGACACACUGGGACUGAGACACGGCCCAGACUCCUACGGGAGGCAGCAGUGGGGAAUUGUUCGCAAUGGGCGCAAGCCUGACGACGCAACGCCGCGUGGAGGACGAAGAUCUUCGGGUCGUAAACUCCUGUCGAGCGGGACGAAACCCGCGGGGAUGAACAAUCCCUGCGGUUGACGGUACUGCUAAAGGAAGCCCCGGCUAACCCCGUGCCAGCAGCCGCGGUAAUACGGGGGGGGGCAAGCGUUUGUUCGGAAUUACUGGGGCGUAAAGGGCUCGUAGGCGGCCAACUAAGUC
rnacentral:rRNA from 1 species